GGCUAGUCCAAGUGCAGCAGUAUUUACACCUAAUUGGUCACAACUGGUUAAGAUUUCUUUCUUCCUUCUCCAGUCUGUCUGCGUCACAUGACUAGCAUUGU
ensembl:misc_RNA Y_RNA Y RNA